rnacentral:rRNA from 1 species
AUGGUAAAAAAGAUAAUGACGGGAAAACUACACACCAUUCAUCCAAGUGAAAGUCAGAGUUUCUCUUCUGAAGAGUACUUACUAUAUAGAACCACAUCUUUGUCAGGUUUAUUCUGUAUAACUGGGAAUACAUGUUUCAGGAGCCUAUUGUUUCUGUUGAUCGCAGUUACUAUCUUGUGUAGGUUGCAAUAUCUGCCAGCUUUGUAUUCUUUUUGUCAAUUCUGUGUUGGUAGGUUGGUCCAUACGGUAAAGCUUAAAACUUCUGAAAUAGACAUCUAUGGAUAUGGACAUGCUAAACAUUUUCAGGAAUGUAAGAAGGCAGUAGUCUCUUGA